UGAGCAAUCUGCCCUUCUCAUCGGAAUAAGCGUUGGAAACGACGUCUAAUGCCGAAUACGACCUCCUUUCGCAUGAUCGGAGGUGGAAAGCUCCGGCGGAGAAGGAUGAGCUCGCGGCCUAUCAGCUAGUUGGUGGGGUAAUGGCCUACCAAGGCGUCGACGGGUAGCCGGCCUGAGAGGGCGACCGGCCACACUGGGACUGAGACACGGCCCACCGACUCCGUACGGGAGG
rnacentral:rRNA from 1 species